CAUAACAUUAGAAAAUGCAGCCACACAAAUAAAUACAAAACAAAAUACAAACCAAAAAACCCAUGAACUAAAAAUAAUGUUCUAGAACAAAACUGUUUCGUCUAAAGCAAAAUCGAGUAAGAAUAAGAUUGUAUUGUGAUCUUACUGCUAUUGAAACCUCUUACUCACUUUGAGCACCAGAAUUUUCCUUCCCCAAAUCCUCACUGUCAUAUGCCUGAGCAAGCAUCCGCCACCCACACAACAGACCGGGCCCAGGCAUGACUGUGCAAAGCCAUACUUCAUGAAGACUUCCUCCAGUGACAAAAAAGGGCUCUCAGAGACAGCCCGUCGUUUUCCUGAGAUGCUGAACUCUUGUUAUCUAUGGUAAAAUCUAUGCUCUGCUGUACUCUGCUGAUGAGAAAACUUACAGAUAGGCAUUUCUGAUAUUUCGCCAUCCCCAGAUAAGAACUUUAGCUUAGUAACUGUUCUGUAGUAAAUAUAGUUGCUAAGAUUUAGUUAUUAUUUGUAAUGUAUCAGUAUAGGAAACAAAAAAGUUACAUUUUCCUGCCUUGUUAUUCAUUUGCAGGUCAUUUCAAGAAUAUAAACAAAGUAGUAAGGACUCUGAACAACAACAACAAAAAAAGAAAUUUAAUAAAGCUCUUAAUUUGGAAAAAAGAUUAUAGGCUAAAAAAAUAAAAAUAUAGCUAUGCUUUAUUAUGAUGACCAUAUUGCUCAAACAGAAACCUUGGUGGCGUAGUGGUUAAGUGCUACGGCUGCUAACCAAAAGGUCGGCAGCUGGAAUCCGCCAGGUGCUCCUUGGAAACUUUAUGGGGCAGUCCUACUCUGUACGGCAGUGGGUUUAUAUUGCUCAAAAGGCAAUAGUGUGAAAUGGUUUUAUUUUGAAAUUUAUUUUGACAUUUCUCUACAGGAUGUGGGGCCUCUGUGCUGGCACUGAGCUGACUGAAAGCCUUUCUUGUUGCUUAUUAUGACCUUUGCAACUUGUCAUUUUUAUUAUUACUUAACAUUUUGUUAUUAAAAAAAAGAAACCAUUGCCGUCGAGUCAAUUCUGACUCAUAGCAACUCUAUAGGGCAGAGUAGAACUGCCCCAUAGAGUUUUCAAGGAGUGCCUGGUGGUUAACCAAGGAGUACCUUUCGGUUAACAGCUGUAGUUCUUAACCGCUAUGCCAUCAGGGUUUUCAUUUUAUUAUCACUUAACAUUUAAUGAAUUCACUAUUUAAAAAAUAGAACACAAUAAAUAUACAUUUAUUUUUAUUUAAUAACUUAUUUAAACUGUGAAAAUAUCCUGAAAUUUGCUAAAGAUAACCAAGGAACAGAUUUAUUUUACUCCUCAUCUAGUGUGUCAAGCUUUCCAACUUCAAAACUCUGCAACUUACUGUAAAUAACUUAAGCAAUGGUUUGAAAGUAUGAGGGAUACGAAUUUUAGUAUUUACUAUGCUUCUUUUUUCCUGAUGUUUUUGGAGAAUUAAACAUGUUGAUGUGCUCUAUUUUCCCCUCUGCAAAACACGAACUAUCAUUCUUGGUUACUUAACAAAUACAGCAUAAUUCAUGGAAGGUAUCAGAGCACAGUACAAACCGAGGUAUUAAAACGGUUAGAAUCGAAGUAGAUUUUUCCUAAAGAUUCAAGAUUUCAGUUAAAACUAAUGCAACUUUGUGACUGAGACCUUAAUUACCCAAAGGAAAUUCAAAUUAUGUUGCCAGAACAACCUUUAUUUAGGAACACUCAGCAUAUGAUUUUUUUCUAAUCUCCAAUACAUAAAGUCAGGGAGGUACAGAAAUCUUUUUUUACGAAUCUCCCGGCUCUAGAAAGCUUAAAAUACCAACCUCGACAUAGCAGUUAGUGAUUGUUUGUACCACAUUUUGAAAAAUUGCAUAUUGCAAAUGUAGGUUAGACAUAUAUUUCCCAAUAGUUUUUACAGUUAUGAGUGAUUCCAAAUUAGAAAUUGUGGCAUUCGCAAUUCACAAUUGUCUCAUUUUCUUCUUGUUGUUAGGUACCGUGGGGUCGACUCGGACUCAUAGAGAUCUUAUGUAUAACCGAACAAAAUAUUGCCUGGUCCUGAGCCAUUCUCACAAUUGUUGUUAUGUUUGAGCCUGUUGUUGUAGCCACUGUGUCAGUCUGUCUCACUGACCCUCUUUUUCGCUGACCCUGAAACCCUGGUGGCGCAGUGGUUAAGAGUUCAGCUACUAACCGAAAGAUCAGCAGUUUGAAUCCACCAGGUGCUCUUGGAAACCAUAUGGGGCAGUUCUACUCUGUCCUAUACGGUCACUAUGAGUCUCAAUCAACUUGACUGCAAUGGGUUUGGUUUUUGUUGUUGUUGUUGUUGUUAUUUUACCAAGCAUGAUAUCCUUCUUUUCAUUCCCUACCAGUUGCCACUGAGUCAAUUCUAACUCAGCAACCCAGGACGGAAUAGAACUUCCGCAUAGGGUUUGCGAGGCUGUGCUCUUUACAGAAGCAGACUGCCACAUCUUUCUCCCACGGGGCAGCUGGUGGGGUCAAUCUAAGAUGAACGGUCAACCAGCCAAUCAUAGUUCUGCCUGAAAAUCUCAUCUAAAGCAGUGAUUCUCAAAGUGUGAAGUGGGAAUUAGUGGAAAUCGAUGACACCUAACCAGAAAGCCCAUGAACUUGGUAACUUUUAAGGGAGGGAGCCUAGAUUAUAACUUUAUUUCUGAUAUAUAACUGAAAAGCAGUAUCACCUGUAGGUAUCAUUGAAAGCAUAAUCAGUUUGCCCCAAAUUCUACUAUUUCUAAAUAGCAAAAAGGAAUGGUUAGAAUUAGGGAUCUGUGGGACCUUUUCCUCUACUAAGGCUAUCUGCCAACUAAUGCAUUAAUUUUAUGAUAAACUUUGAAAGUAGAGGAAAUGUUUUAUUUUCUGCCGGUUUUUUAAGCUAAUAACCAGUCUUUCAUCAGUAGUUUUCGUUCAGAGGAUUCCUGGGUGACCACCUCUCUGGUAUAUUAAAGCAAACAGCUGGUGGAGGGAGGAAAGAAGCUAUAUUGACAUUAUUUUCUUCAAUUAAGAUAUCUAGGCACUUAAUAAAUAUUAUCUCUUUAUCCUGAAGCUUUCAAUCUAAUGGGGAUGUUAGGGAUUGAAUUGUGUCCCCUAAAAAUACAUCCUGAAAUCCUAGCCCCUAUCCCCGUGGACAUAGUCCUGCCUGGAAAUAAAGUUUUCCUUGUUAUGGUAAUGACUAGGGUGUGUCCUAAACCUAAUCACUUCAGAGUUAGAAAAAGGGCAAAUUAGACACAGAAGAAACCACACAUGGGGGGUGGGUGAUGGAUGAUAGAUGCCAGGUGAAGGUCACCAAGAAACCAAGAAAUGCCGGGGCUACAGAAGCUGAGACAAGGAUCUUUCCCCCAGAGCUGAAACGGAGAGAUUUCCCCUAGAGCCAAUGACCCAAAAUCAGACUUCUAGCUUCCUAAACUCUGAGAAAGUGAAUUUCUGUUCUUCACCUACUUGUGGUGUUUCUGUUACAGAAGCACCAGGAAACUAAGACAGGGAUGAUAGAUAUCCACCAAAGAAUGAAACAAUUGCACAUUUACGUGAAACGACAAUAGCAAUAUAUGAAAAGUAUGGAAAAUGUACUUUGAGGGAUUAAUCGUCGUAUGGAGACCUGUAGUAGGCAGCCUCUAGGACGGUCCGCAGUGAUCCCCUCCUCCUACUUUUCACGCCCUUAUAAAAUCCCCUGCCCCAUACUCCCACACUUGCUAAUUUACUUCUGACUCACAGAAUGCAAGCAAAAUGAUGGGAAGUCACUCUGAGAUUAAGUUAUAAAAAGACUGUGGCUUCUGUCCUGCUGUGCUCUCAGUCAGUCACGUGUGAAUCACUGUCCAAUAAUAAAGGUUUGUUGUUAUAAGUCUGCAGUUCGAAUCCACCAGGCGCUCCUUGGAAACUCUAUGGGUCAGUUCUACUCUGUCCUAUUGGGUCGCUGUGAGUCUCAAUUAACUUGACUGCAACGGGUUUGGUUUUUGGUUUUAAUGGAUGAGAAGCAGAUAAUGGAAAAAAGGAGAAGAUUUCCAAAUAAAAAGCAUUGUGAUGUGCAGGAACAUGUGGCUGCUGGAAGAUAGAGAGUAGGAGGACCUGAAGAAAGACCAGGGUUAUUAAAAAAAAAAAGAAGAAGAAGAAGUCUCAGCUUUUACUAUUCUACUGGUCUCACAUAAUGAUUUCAGGAUUUUUUUUUUUCUGGAGACAGACGUACUUUCCUAUGGAAGGAGAACAAAAAAGAAAAGUAAAUGUUUGCCAUUUUAGCAAUAUGGAAUGCAAUGUGGUUUUAAAAUUAAAUCAUAUUUGUUUUUUCCUACACCAGAAUUUUUCCAAAACUAGCAGGGGAGAAAACUAUUUGGUAAAAGUUUUAAAUUUUAGGAUAAUGUUUAUUUAUAUUAAUGAACUACAAGUAGACACUUUAACUUGGGUGAAUCUCAAACGUAAUAUUGAGAAAAUGAAAGGAGUCAUAUAAGAAUAUUCACAGUAUGAUUCCACUUAUGCACAGUGCCCCAAAAAAGGCAAAAUGAAUUUGUUUGUUCAAGGCUGCAUACAUAGAUUGUAAGACAGAAAUGAUUAUUUUCCCCAAGAAAAUGAUUAUCCCCAAAAGUCAUGGUACAUUUAGAGAAGUUCAGAAGUAUAUUUGGGAGGAACUGACAAUAGCCUGGAAACCCUGGUGGCCUAGUGGUUACGAGCUACGGCUGUUAAUGAAAAGGUCGGCAGUUCAAAUCCACCAGGUGCUGCUUGGAACCUCUACGGGGCAGUUCUACUCUGCCCUAUACAGUGGCUAUGAGUCGGAAUCAGCUUCUUGGCAACAGGUUUUUUGGGUUUUGGCAAUAGUCUGCUUCCUAACUUACUCAGGCAUUCCCUGUGUUUUAAAUGUACGUAUAUCAUAAACUCUGCAAUAAGCAACAUAUACUUUACAAUAAAGAAAUAGUAAGCUCAAAGAAACAAAAGUACAAAUUGACACGUUAUUUUAAUAUAGUGUUUUAUUUUCAACUUAAUAAUUUGGAAUAUUUAUCCUGGCCUUGGAAACCCUAUGGGGCAGUUCUACUCUGUCCUAUAGGGUCACUAUGAGUCGGCAUCGACUCCGUGGGAGUGGGUUUGUUUUUUAACCGUCAAUAUACUUUCCCCAAGGGCAGGCACCUUGUCUCACUCGUCCGACCAUCCCAUGCCUGCACGGCUCAGUGAUGAUGAGUAGACACUCAGAGUUUGUUAACUGAACUUCCUCUAAAUGUCUGCUGUGCCUGUAAUCACUCCUGCCAUUUUUGCUUCUCUUGGACAGAGUACCAGAGUCUUUUUAAAAGCAAACCUCCACUUUGCUUUUGCCUCACAGGCACAUGACUGUAACUGUAAGCGUAUGAAACAAUCACCUAAUCAUAGAAACAGGUUCCUAGUUUACACUAUUUACAAUGUUGACCUAAGUGGGUUACGGUUAUUAUUUAAAAUAAAAGCAAGGGAGAAGAUAAAGAAAAUCCAGAUGGCUUAUUACUAAAAAAAAAAAAAAAAAUUUUUUUUUUAUUACUAAAAACCAAAAACCAAACCCCUUGUAGUCAACUUGAUUCUGACUCAUAGUGACCCUAUGCCAAAAAAACCAAACCCAGUGCCAUCGAGUUGAUUCUGACUCAUAGCGACCCUGUAGGACAGAGUAGAACUGCCCCAUAGAGUUUCCAAGGAGCGCCUGGCAGAUUUGAACUGCCAGCCCUUUGGUCAGCAGCCAUAGCACUUAACCGCUACACCACCAGGGUUUCCUAUAGGACAGAGUAAAACUGUCCCAUAGAGCUUCCAAAGAGUCCCUGGUGGAUUCCACCUGCUGACCUUAUUACCGGUAUUUAUUAACUAUCCUGCCUGGGCAAAAAAAUGGGGGAGGGAUGAGGAAGUGAACAGUGAAGUAAAUUAUAGAGGUGUAAAAAAAAAAAAAAAAAAUAAAAAUUUUUUUUUUUUUUUAUAUACUGUACAGGAUACAAAGUGAAAUAAAUAAGGAAAUGGUGACAAAGAAGAAGAUAAAGGUAAUAAAGGAAAAUAAAUGUCAGGGUAACUCCCGUAUCUCAGAGUACAAUAACCUCAUACUGCUCUGUAACAAAGCUGGGGUAUAGCUAAGACCAGGGUUCUCAGCAGACUUUCUCUGCCACGCUCCCAAAGAGAAGUUGAACUUACCAGCCACGAAGAAGACAGUCAAAAUCAGUAGCCACCCCAGGUCAGAAGUUCCCCGAGUGCAGGGCAUUUCUGUUUUCUCUCUUCCUGCCCUUCACUCAGCACUUGCCCUCCACACAGGUGGAGAAGGAGCUGUGGACAUGGUGAGGCUGUCUCUGGUGACUCCUGCUUGUCUGUGCUGGGUCCUCGUGGGCCGUCAGCAGCGGCCACUCCUUCCUCCUGGCCCCUUCCUUUCACUCUCUGUGCUGUAGCCUGGUUACUAAGCUGGCUCUUCUCUGGAACUUGACAGAGCAAUAGAUUUCCUGUACAAAGCCCUGAAGCAAAGACCAAGGAAGUGGAUUGACUGUUACAUUUCGGCUCAAUUUUUCCCUUCACUUCUGCCUUGCACAGAUAAACUUUACAGUUAAGGCAUUGAACUUGCCCAAGAUAAACGGAUUUGUCUAAAUUUGGAUUAAAAAGCAAAACAGAAUAUUUACCUAAUUUUGGCCUAUGCCUUUAAAUUCCCCAAUUACGACAAAUUUUAGAAGCUUUCUUCACCUUGACAAGUUGUAUAGCCUUAGUAAUAAAGUUUAGCACAAAAUGUUUUCUUCAAAUUCUAUGUGAAGUCACUGUCUACAGUGGGAGUCAGCACACACCUCUGCUCAGUUGUUAUAUUGUCCCUGAUCCUGACACUCCCUCCCGGGGAGAAAAAAAAAUCGCAAUUUAGUGGAUUCUGACUCGUGUGUGAGAACGGAGCUGUGCUCCACAGGGUUUUCAACGUGACCUUUCAGAAGUAGGUCAUCAGGCCUUUCUUGCAAGGGUGCAUUCAAAUGGUGAAGGAAAGGUUAGAAGCGGAGCACUUAAACCAUUGCACCACCCAUGGACUUGGACUCUCUGACUUCCCUCUUCCGAAAACACUUGUGAUUACAUGUUGUUGUUAGGUGCCCUCGAGUCAGUUCCAACUCAUAGUGACCCCAUGUACAACAGAACGAAACACUGCCCAGUCCUGCACCAUUCUCACAAUCAUUGCUAUACUUGAGCCCAUUGUUCCAGCCACUGUGUUGAUCCAUCUCCUUGAGGGCCUUCCUCCUUUUUGCUGACCUUCUACUUUACCAAACAUGAUAUCCUUCUCCAGGUACUGAUCCCUCUUGAUACCAUGUCCAAAGUAGGUGAGACAAAGUCUCACCAUCUGUGAUGGUGAAGGUUGCGUGUCAACUUGGCUGGGCCAUGAUUCUCAGUGGUUUGGCAGUUAUGAGGUAUUUUGGCAGUCAUAUGAUGUUGUGAUCACUUCUAUGAUGAGAUUUAAUAUAAUGUGAUCACCUCCAUGAUGAAAUCUGCUGUGAGUCACCAGUGACUUGAAAGGGAGUUUCCUUGGGCAUGUGGCCAGCAUCAAAUAUAAGUGGACAUUCUGGCAAGGCUUGUGAGAUUUUGCUCUCUCUGGAUCCUGCAGCUGGCUCUUGUUCAUCUGAUCUCUGGUACUUGGGAUGUGAGCUAGCAGCUUAGAUGCAGUUCUGCCUGAAUAUUGGGACUCACUGAUCUUCACAGCCUGUGAGCAACAGCCCUGUCUCUGACCUUCCAGAGGCCAGCCAGCCCCUGUGGCUACAUGAAUCAGGAGAAGUCUCUAUCCUGACCCAUGGAUUUGGGACAUUCCAGCUUCUACAACUGUAUGUAGUCAUCUCAUUCCUGUGUAUUCCAUCCGGUGAGGUCCACGUGUAUAAUCACCAUUCGUGUUGCAGUGAAGAAGUCAUUGGUCUCGCAAAAUUCUAUCAUGUGAUCUCCAGUGUCAUUUCUACCAUCAAGACCACACUUUUGAGGUGCUGAUCCUUCCUCUUUGCUUCCACUUUUUGCAUUCCAAUUGCCAGAAAUUAUUAAUGUGUCUUAAUUGCAUGUUUUUUCCAUUUCAUACUGAAGAAGUUAGUAAAAAUCUUCAUCUUUGGCCUUAGCGGUUGGUGCCUAAAUUUGUAUAAUAGUCUUAUUAACUGGUCUUCCUUGUAGGCAUUUGGAUAUUAACCUAUCACUGACAACAUUGUACUUCGGGAUAGACCUCAAAAUGUUCUUUUUGACAUUAAAUGUGAUGCCAUUCUUCACUAUGCCAUUCUCAGCAUAGUAGACCAUAUGAUUGUCUGGUUCAAAAUGGCCAAUACCAGUCCAUUUCAGGUCAUUAAUGCAUUCCAUUUCAUUUUUGAUGACUUCCAAUUUCCCUAGAUUCAUAUUUCAUACAUUCCAUGUUCCGAGUAUUAAUGGGAGUUUGCAGCUGUUUCUUCUCAUUUUGAGUUAUGCCACAUCAGCAAAUGGAGGUCCCAAAAGUUUUACUCCAUCCACGUCAUUGAAGCCAACUUUACUUUGAGGAGGCAACCCUUCCCCAGUUGUAUUUUGAGUACCUUCCAACUUGAAGGGCUUAUCAUCCUGCAGUAUAUCAGACAAUAUUCCACUGCUAUUCAUAAAUUUUUUUUUUUUUAUUCAUAAGGUUUUCACUGGCCUAUUUUUUCAGAGGCAGAUUGCCACAUCCUUCUACCUAAUGUGUCUUAGUCUGGAAGCUCCACUGAAACCUGUCCACCAUUGGUGACCCUGCUGGUAUUUGAAAUACUGGUGGCAAAGCUUCCAGUAUCACACAACAUGCAAGCUACCACAGUACAUCAAACUGACAGACACGUCGUUGUGAGUACUUGGGCCCACUCAAGUAGAUCCUUAGUUGGUGGACAUCUUGGGGAGGGGGGCACUGUUUUGUCUGCCACAGCAAGUAUUCAGUACCUGUUGCCAUUCACCUUCACCUCUGAAGACCUAGGCUGAUCAUUUUAACCAAAUUAUAAAUAAACACUUUCCUUUUAAUGUUCACAAAUAUGAAACUCAGAUUAACAAGAAAAAGUAAUACUUUAGAGUUGGUAGUUAAUACACAUUCACAUCAUAUUUAGGAGAAAAAAAUUCCUCAGUGUUCUAAGAAUUUCUAAUCCCCAGCCAAAUCUCUUCAGGAAGUGGAAGAAAACAUUGCAGAGAGGAAAAAGAUCAAAAAGCAUGCAUUUUUAUUCUUUUAAAUUAGUAGCUGUAACUUUCCUGUUGCCAAACAAUAAUCUUUCCUUCCAGUAAAUCUGACUAAAAUGGUAAUCCUUUUGAGAGCACAGAAAACUUAAGGUGAUAAGCUGUGUGCCGAUGAGUUGACUAUAACAAAAAUUUACUUCUAGUAUUAUAUCUGAUGUUGAAAAAAUAAACUAUAUCAGUGAGGAAAUUAUCUUUAAAAUAUAACAACCUGGUUUCCGCCAUGUAGAGAUUAUGAUACACAGUGGUUAGACCAUGGGUUUUAGCAACAGAUAAACCUAGAUUGGAGACUGCUGUGUAAUUGCUAGUGCAAUGAUGCUGAGCAAGUUCCUCAACCAAGUCUGCAACCUGUUUUACCCACUUAAGAUAACAUGCAAAUGUUGUCUCAUGCCACCAAAAAAUCUUGAUGAAGUUUUCUUUUAAUGCCUGCUCAAUGGUACAGUCAAAACUGAAGCAAAGAAGAGUUAACUGGCCAAAGUGACUUGGUGAGACAGUUACAAGUAAAACCCAGGUUUCUUGUUUGCUAGCUCAUGUAUCAUUCCAACUUAACUCCUCUGAUUUGAAAUUUCAGGCAACAACAUUCAGACACACACCCCCAUGCACUCACCUGAGGUCAGUCUCCCAAUCCUCUGACCACAAUUCAACAAUCAGCAGCAUAAGACUCAAAAACCACAGAAUUUAAUGGGGACUAAAACCAUAAAAUCCUUAGAAUAAAACAUAGAGGUAAUGCAUCAGGACCCAGUUUUUUACAACGGAUUCUUAGAUAUGACACCAAACGUACAAGCACAAGAAGACUAAAUGGAUAAAUGUGACCUCAAAAAAAUUAAAAAUUUUAUUCAUCAAGGGACUUUAUCAACAAAGUGAAGAGACAACCUACAGACUGGGAGAAAAUUUGGGGAAUUAUAAGAAGAGCUGGUGGCACAGUGAUUAAAAGCUAUGCCUGCUAACCAAAAGGUCGGCAGUUCAAAUCUACCAGCUGAUCCUUGGAAACUCUAUGGAGCAGUUCUACUCUGUCUUAUAGGGUCACUAUGAGUUGGAAUCAGCUUGAUGACAAUAGGUUUUUGUUUGAUAAGGAUUUAAUAUCCAAAAUAUAAAAAGAACUCCUGCAACUUAAAAAAAUACAACCUAUUCAAAAAAUGGGCAAAGGUCAUAAAUAGAUAGUUCAAAAAAGAGAAUAUACAAAUGGCCAACAAGUACAUGAAAAGGUGCUCACAUCAUUAGUCAUUUGGGAGAUGCAAAUCAAAAUCACAAUGAGAUACCACCCCACCUGCACUAGAAUAGCUAUAAUAUAAAAAACAGAACAUAACAAUUGUUAGCAAGAAUGUGGAGAAAUUGCAAUCCUUGUCCAUUGCUGGUGGGAAAGCAAAAUGGUACAGCCACUGUGGGAAACCAUUUUGCCUGUUCCUCAAAAAGUUAAUUUAAACAUAUGAUCCAGCAAUUCCAAUCCUAGAUGUGUACCCAAAAGAUUUGAAAGCAGGAACACAGACACAUGUACACUGUGAUAGUCAAAUGGUUUGGCAGUUAUGAUGUAGUUUGGCAGUUAUGUAAUGAUGUAAUCAUCUCCAUGAUGAGAUCAGAUAUAAUUUUCUCCAUGGUGAGAUCUGCUAUGAGCAGCCAACCAGUUGAAAGAGAGUUUCCUUGAGGGGUAUUGCCUGCAUCCAAUAUAUAUGGGCUUUCUGGCACAGCUCACUGGCUUUUGCUCUGCUGUGGAUCCUGCUUUCACCUCAUCAUCAUCUGAACUCUGGUUCUUGAGACUUGAGCCAGCAGCCUGCCAUCUUACGUGCCUAUCUUGGAUUCAUCAGCCUCCACAACCUGUGAGCUAGCGGCCUGUGCCUGACCUACUGAUCUUGGGUUCAUCAGCCCCUGCACCUACGUGAGUCAGAAGAAGCCUCCAGCCUGAUGCCUGGCCCACAGACUUGAGACUUUCUAAACUCUACAACCACAUGAGCCAUUUCCUUGUUUUAAAUCUUUCUCUCUCUCUCUCUCUUUUUACAUAUAUAUAUACACACACACAUAUAUACAUACGCUUCACUAGUUUUGCUUCUCUAGAGAACCCAGCCUAAGACAUACACCAGUGUUCACUGCAGCGUUAUUUACAAUAGACAAAAACUGGAAACAACCUAAAUGCCCAUCAACCAAUGAACAAAUAAAUUGUGAUGCAUACAUAUAAUGGAAUAUUACUCAGCCCUAAAGAGAAAUGAAGUCCUGAUACAUGCUAUAACAUGGAUGAACCUUGAAAACAUUACACUGGGUGAAACAAGUCAGUCACAAAAGGACAAACACUGUAUGAUUCCACUUACACGAAACAGACAAAUGUAUAGAGACCAAAGGUUAUUAGUGGUUACCAGGUAUGGGAGGAAGGGGGAGAAGGGAGCUCAUUGCUUAGGGGAUACUAAGUUUCUGUUAAUGCUGGUGGAAUAAUUUGGAAAAGGAUAAUGACAAUGGCCACACAACACUAUGAAUGUAACUAAUGUCACUCAGUCGUACACAUAAAAAUCCUUGAAUUCAUGAAUGUUUUCUUUUUAAGCCAUAAAAGUCAAUGGAUUAGGAGGCAGAGCCAAGAUGGUGGAAUAGACAGACUGGUACCAGUGAAGUUUCCUCACGGAAAAGUAGCCAGCCACACAGCCUACUCACACCUCCAGAACCAGAUAAAAACAGUGUUCCCAGCAAAAGCUAAGACCUUGUGUAUAUUUUACUGUGCCUCCACCUCUCAAGCCGGCUCCAGUGGCUGACUUCCCUGGGCCUGAGAUAGACCCUGCUGAGCUCCUAGAGCCAUCCUCCCAGCCUUGGGGAACGAAUACAUUUGCAAUUGGGGGUAAAAAUAAUUUGCCAUCUUGGCUAACUGGGGGAGCUCAGGACAGAAGGGGCUCCUGUCCAGGCAUAAAUGGUCCAUGGACUUUGAGCACCUUUUCCCUUUGCUUGGACCUGUGUGGGCCUAUUUCAGGAGAAUAGGCCCUUGUUGGCAGACUCCAACCAUUUCAGCUGUGUGGUGGAGAGGUGGGUGUUUAAUGUUUGACAUUGCUUUGCCUGUUAAACAGGGUCCUUACCUACCCACAUCAGGGGCCUAAGGACUGGUAGCUCCACUCAGGUCACUCAGCCACUCCCAACAGAGGUCCAAGGAUAACUGGUACCUCCCAGUCCUUAUAGCCAAAAACAUUGGGUGCCCAUGGUCCAUCUGCAGAACCCACCCUCCUGUAUGCUCUAAGGAAUAAGGACAUGCAUCCCAAGAGACAUGUGGGGGAUGGUUCUCAGCCCCCUGCCUUGUUUAGAGUGUGACCCCCUGCUGCAUCCAGAUACCAGUACCUACACCAAUCACUGCUGCCCCUCUAAGACUGUAGAACAGAGCCUGUACCACACACUUGAUGAUCAGCUACCUGGACACCUGAGCUGAAUUCGUACAAGAAAAGUGAAUGGACUCCUAUACUGACAUACCUGAUAACAGAGUUAGCCAUUUGGGGACAGGAACGUCAGCACUCCAAAUGCAAAAAUAAUCAAGACAGCUCUCUCUAGCAAACCAUUUGGACAUAUCAAAACAAAACAAAGCAAGAAGCUAUGACACAGUAAGCAAGCAUAAAAUAAACUAAUACAGUAACUAUAGAUGGCUUGGAGACAACAGUCAAUAUCAAGUCACAUAAAGAAACAGACCACGAUCGCCUCAACAAGCUCUCAGAACAAAGAAUCAAGGGAUCUUCUAGAUGAAAAUGCCUUCCUGGAAUUACCAGAGGAAGAAUGCAAAAGAUUAAUAAACAGAACCUUUCAAGACAUCAGGAAGGAAACGACACAAUAUGCAGAACAAGCCAAGGAACACACAGAUAAAACAAUUGAAGAAAUUAGAAAGAUUAUUCAGGAACAUAAUGAAAAAUUUAAUAAGCCGGAAAAAUCCAUAGAAAGACAGCAAUCAGAAAUUCAGAAGAUUAGCAAUAAAAUUACAGAAGUAGACACCUCAAUAGUAGGUCAGAGGAGCAGAAUUGAGCAAUUAAAAAAUGGGCAAAAGAUAUGAACAGACACUUCACUAAAGAGGACAUUCAGGUAGCUAACAGAUACAUGAGGAAAUGCUCAUGAUCAUUAGCCAUUAGGGAAAUGCAAAUCAAAACUACAAUGAGAUUUCAUCUCACUCCAACAAGGCUGGCAUUAAUCCAAAAAACACAAAACAGUAAAUGUUGGAGAGGCUGUGGAGAGGUUGAAACACUUAUACACUGCUAGUGGGAAUGUUAAAUGGUACAACCACUUUGGAAAUUGAUUUGGCGCUUCCUUAAAAAGCUAGAAAUAGAGCUACCAUACAAUCCAGCAAUCCCACUCCUUGGAAUAUAUCCUAGAGAAAUAAGAGCCUUUACACGAACAGAUACAAGCACAUCCAUGUUUAUUGCAGCACUGUUUACAAUAGCAAAAACAUGGAAGCAACCAAGGUGCUCAUCAGCGGAUGAAUGGAUAAAUAAAUUAUGGUAUAUUCACACAAUGGAAUACUAUGCAUCAAUAAAGAACAGUGAGGAAUCUGUGAAACAUUUCAUAACAUGGAGAAAUCUGGAAGGCAUCAUGCUGAGUGAAAUUAGUUGCAAAAGGACAAAUAUUGUAUAAGACCACUCUUAUAAGAACUCCAGAAAUAGUUUAAACAGAGAAGAAAAUAUUCUUUGAUGUUUACGAGAGGGUGGAAGAGGGGUAUUCACUAAUUAGGUAGUAGAUAAGAACUACUUAAGGUGAAGGGAAAGACAGCACACAAUACAGGGGAGGUCAGCACAACUGUGCUAAACCAAAAGCAAAGAAGUUUCUGGAAUAAACUGAAUGAUUCAAAGGCCAGUGUAGCAGGGAUGGAGGUUUGGGGACCAUGGUCUCAGGGGACAUCUAAGUCAAUUGGAAUAAUAAAAUCUAUUAAGAAAACGUUCUGCAUCACACUUUGGAGAGUGGCGACUGGGGUCUUAAACACUAGCAAGCAGCCAUUUAAGAUGCAUCAAUUGGUCUCAGCCUACCUGAAUCAAAGGAGAAUGAAGAACACCAAGGACAAAGGUAAUUACGAGCCCAAGAGACAGAAAGGGCCACAUAAACUACAUCAGCCUGAGACCAGAAGAACUAGAUGGUGCCCGACUACAACCGAUGACUGCCCUGACAGAGAACACAACAGAGAACCCCUGAGGGAGCAGGAGAGCAGUGGGAUGCAGACACCAAAUUCUCGUAAGAAGACCAGACUUAAUGGUCUGACUGAGACUAGAAGGACCCCGGUGGUCAUGGCCCCCAGACCUUCUGUUGGCUCAGGACAGGAACCAUUCCCGAAGCCAACUCUUCAGACAGGGAUUGGACUGGACAAUGGGUUGGAAAGGGAUACUGGUGAGGAGUGAGCUUCUUGGAUCAGGUGGACACUUGGGACUAUGUUGGCAUCUCCUGUCUGGAGGGGAGAUGAGAGGGUGGAGGGGGUUAGAAGCUGGCGAGAUGGACACAAAAAGAGAGAGUGGGCUGUCUCAUUAGGGGGAGAACAACUGGGAGUACGUAGCAAGGUAUAUAUAAGUUUUUGUGUGAGAGACUGACUUGAUUUGUAAACUUUCUCUUAAAGCACAAUAAAAAUUUUUAAAAAAAGGCAUCUGAGAAAAAAAUUGAUAAAUAAAAGAGGAAGACACUCUCUUGCUGGCGUUGGAGAAGCAAAUCACCAUGAGGUAUACAGCUGCAAGGAAAUUAAUUCUCCUAACAACCAGAAUCUUUAUUUUGCAGUUGAGGAAAUGAAGGCUCAAAAAAGUUAAGUAUAUAUACCCAAAGUCAGUCACUCAAUAAAUGUUAGUCCCCUUCCUUUUUAGCUAGAUUAGGCCAAGCUCCGCAUCACCACUCCUCUAUUCUUCUAAAUUUAUUUUGGUCUUUGUACCCCACUCAUUAAUUAUGUGGCUUUAGACAUGUAUUUUCUCUCAGUUCUUCCUUUGUGAAAUGAGGGGGUUAAGCUACAUUCUUUCCACGUAUUCCAUGAUCCUAGAAAUCUCAGAAGUAGACUGCAGUGCAGUGAAUUGCUGUGAUGUGGCCUUUCUAGCCAUAGUUUCUUAAUUCCUACAAAAUGAUUGGCUGGGACUAUUCAAAUAAGGUGUGUAAAAACUCUUGCAGGGAGUAGACAGUGACUAUGCAAAUAAGGUGACUGUAGCCUACCAAGGGGAUUGGUCAGUUUUGCCAUCCUGCUAGGCUUAAAAGAGCCAAUCCCACAGAGGAUGGGGGUACUGCACUACCAUCAAGAAGAAGCGUCUGGAACAAAUGGGCAGCUCCUGCCCAGAGGCAGGAUAAGAAGGGACAGGAACUGGUUGAAUGGACCCAGGGAACCUGGAGUAGAAAGGGAGAGUGUGUUGUCACAUUGUGGGGAUCGCAACUAAUGUCACAAAACAAUAUGUGCGUAAAUUUUUGUAUCAGAAAUUAACUUGAGCUGUAAACUUUCACCUAAAGCACAAUGAAAAAAUAAAAACAAAAACAAACAAACAAAAAAGUCAAUGGAUUAAGAGGAAGAUAGAUUUGUCUAGUAAAUGCUCCUCUCUGAAAAUCUGAAGGCCCCAAAUUCUCCUUAGCUGUCCUCCUUGGAUACAGGGACCCAGAAAAUAGAAUAGAGGCAUGAGAAAGGAUCUGAAUAAAGCCAGAAACCCAAACCAUUUACCCUGCCUGUCUUCCAACUCCCCUUCAGCAAUACCAAUUAAGAAACAAUGCAUAGGAGAGAUAAAUAGACCAACGACAUUAAAUGUUGGUUAAUAUCUGGUAGCCCAAACAAAAAAGUUUCGUACCUAUAACUCACAGCGGCUUUAAGCCAUAAUUAAGUAGCCCCCAAAUUGUCCUGACAGUUUAUUCAAAACUUGAUUAAUCUGCCAGUAAAUGCUUGUUGAACUAAACUUCCAGUCAGAUGUAUUUCUUUAUUUUCAGUGCCAGAUUCAGACUUAGCCACAACCUGAAACCAGUUAAGGAGAUGUUGCAGUCUUACUUUUAAAUCCCCUUCCCAUUACCAAGAAGUUAUGCACGGAUCUUGAGUACUUACUGCUCAGACUCUAGCCUUUUAUUCUUUACCUCUUAUAGCCUGGGCUCCUUGUUCCCCAGUACUAGUGCCUUCUCCUUCACCUCCAGGAUUUAGGGCUUGGCUGUCUAAAUCUCUAGUACCUGCCUGCCCCUCCUACUUUAGUGAAUUCUUUGGAAAUGUGUCCUUGCAAAAAUAGCUACUUGCCUUACCAUCUUUGCUUUGGAUGACUUCUAUGGCUUAGACAUCUGCCCUGACUUUUUCUUCUUACAGACACACACACGCACACACACACACACACAAGCUAAACUUAGUCCCAGUUCCCUCAAUCUACCCUGUUCUACUACUACCCAAGUACUAACGUGACAACUUCUCGGAGAUGAAAGAACAAUGUUCAAUAGUGUGAAGAAUUUCAAGGGACUCAAAUGCUCCCAACCCUGUACAAAGUCCUUAUUCAUCUCCUACACUCUUGCAAAAUGCCUCUGCUCCCUGUAUUAGAGAACUGCAAUUACCUCCCCAGCCUUAGCAUCCACCUGCACUGUGGAGGCAAAAUUAAUGAUCCACUAUUGAUCCACGGCAGUCCACACUUCAUCUGACUUCCUACCUGUCCCCAAGACAAAAUGGUUAGAGACUUGAAUCUAAUUGGUAUUCCAGCAGAGGCACAAAUCCAAUAUAUGAUUGCCUAAAACAGCUUCUUUCCUGGUUAUAUUCUCUACCUCUAUUUCCCACUUGGCCUGUCGGCAAUCUUCCCUGACCCAAGCUCUGAUAACUUAUCUGAAAUCCUGGAUCUUCCUCCCUGUACAAUCAUUAAGUGAACCGACCAGUAACUUAGAAGAGACUCACAAAUAUACAUUUUUAUUUUUCCAUCCUGCCAUUACAUUGAUUUUCUUGAAAAUUACUCCCAGUAUACAGUUGAUACUGUCACUUACAUAAUAAUUCUACUUAAAAAGUUAGAAAAAAUAUAUCACAUGAGAAUUAUUAUUUUCAAUAUAAUUUACAGAAUAUAUAUACAAAAAGGAAAAUUUAGAAAUAGAUGUUUGAAAAUAAAAUAUACAUGCUCUGUCAGAUAAACAAGCCAAAUCAGAGCAUAGAAAUUAGUAUCCAUAGCUUAUAUUUUGAUACAUAUAAAUUCUAGACCUCGCUAGUCAUAUUAACAACACUUGUUAAGUCCUUAGCUCAAUAGCCAGGCCCUCGUCUAAGCACUCCAUGAAUAUUGCCUUAUUUUCUGGUCUCAACGCCCCUCUGAGGCAAAUGUCAUUAAAAAAAAUCAUUAUUAUCCCCAAAUUACAGCUGAGAUAACUGAGGCCAAAGAGGUUAAAUAACUUGUCCAAAGUAAAAUAACUGGUAAGUGGUAGAGACAGGAUUCCAGCGCAAGAAAUCGCACUUCAAAGUCUCUCUCUUACCUGUGUAGCCAAAGAGCCUCUUCUUAACUACCCACGCUUUUACCCAUCGUCUUCUCUCCAACACUCUCCUAACUUCUCCUGAACCUAGUCAUCUGUUCAGUCAUUCUUUCUUUCAGUAGGACACUCUUACAACUUAUGGCACGUGUGUUUUGUAUGAUUCGUUAAUUAAUUAACUAAUUUAACAAAAAGACCCUCUAACCCAUCUCUAAGCAUCUAUUUGUAUUAAGGUCAUUCUCUGUAAAUGCCUAGAGAUAACAUGGUGAAACCAAUGUUAAUGUUUUCAUAAACUUAUUUAGCAAAUUCAACGAGGGAGGCACUUGAUAUUUUUCAUCAUUAAGUAAGAUCCUGUACCUAAAAAUUACACAUUUAAUAUACAUCUUUUGGAAAGUAGUUAAGCAUAACAAAUGGCUACCAGAUGGAUAUCCCAAAGAAAUAUUAUUUACAAGAACAAUAUUCUAAGAUGCCAGAAUUGUUUAAUAAAAAGUCAGUGUAAAGAGAUAGAUGAUGGAUGGAUGGAUGCAUGAAUUGAAGGAAGGAAGGAAGGAAAAGGGAAGGGAAGGUAAAGGGAAUGAAAGGACAAGAAAGAGAGAAAGAGAUUCCAUGCCUCUUCCAAGGAAAUUUGAGGUGGAUUGUAAUAAUCAGGUACCUCCGAAAGCAAACUCUGAGGUGGAACUGACUGUGUAGAAUGGUUAUUAAGGAUUACCCAGAUCACCCAUUUCAGAAGGAAAAGGACAGAAGCAGGUGGUGGCAAAGGGAAAACUAAACUGCGAGAUAGGACCACACCAGCUUCAGUCAGGCCAUUUGCAACUCUUCCUUAGCCUUCACUUCAUGCUUGCAUGGAGCCUAAAGGUCUGACAAAGACGAAAACUUAGGGUCUUCUCAGGUAUAUUCCGAGAAUGAGUCCACCUCUGGCCAUGCACAUGGCCUUCUAGAUUUCUCAGUAUAUGUGGGAGCUUUUCAAAACCCUCAUUACCCUGUUUCUCCUUCUUCAGCCUCUUCCUUUCUAGGCUUUUCAUCUGUCUUCUACUUGCCACAUCUCUUACCCCACGCCCCAGCAGCUGCAGCUAGUACAUAUGCCAUUAAAUGUUUUCAACAAAUGCUACCUGGGAGCCUGUCCAGGCCUGAGCAAGUUCCAAGUGUGUGACACAAAAGUAGGCCCUGAGCGCAUCUCUCAGGAUGCCGUCAAACAGGUCAGAAAACACAACCAGAAUUCUUCAAGAAUAAGGUCUCUAUUUCUCACUCUGGCACCAGCAAGCCACACCAGGAAUGCAUGUCUCUGUCCCCAUGGCUGCUGCCAAGUUGGUGAGUGAGAAAUGAUGCACAUUUAAGUUAAAAUGCCACAAUGAUCUCUUACAAAAAUUUCGCAGCCUCUUUCUUCAUUAAGCAUUCCUCUAGCUGUUGUAA